rnacentral:rRNA from 1 species
AACAAACGCUGGCGGCGUGCCUAAUACAUGCAAGUCGAACGGGGUAGCAAUACCUAGUGGCGCACGGGUGAGGAACGCGUGGAUAAUCUGCCUUAGAGUGGGGGAUAACUAGUCGAAAGAUUAGCUAGUACCGCAUAAGACCACAGGAGCUGCGGCUCUAGGGGUCAAAGGUUUUUCGCUCUAAGAUGAGUCCGCGUAAGAUUAGCUAGUUGGUGAGGUAACGGCUCACCAAGGCGACGAUCUUUAACUGGUCUGGGAGGAUGAUCAGUCACACUGGAACUGAGACACGGUCCAGAAUACUACGGGAGGCAGCAGUAGGGAAUAUUGCACAAUGGAGGAAACUCUGAUGCAGCGACGCCGCGUGAGUGAUGAAGGCCUUCGGGUCGUAAAGCUCUGUCGCAGGGGAAUAACACAAUGAAUGUACCCUGUAAGAAAGGAUCGGCUAACUUCGUGCCAGCCGCCGCAGUAAAAC